rnacentral:rRNA from 1 species
UUCAUCAUCUGCUGAUUUUGCAAUUGAUCCAACCCGAUGCCCGCCCACUGUCCGCUACCAAAUACACACGUUAUAUGUGGCUUUUUCUCCGCGGCAUCGAGGCGAGGUUUCUGG